AAAAAAAGCUUCUAAGCUUCAGGUAACCAGGAACCGUACCCCAAACCGACACAGGUGGUUGGGUAGAGAAUACCAAGGCGCUUGAGAGAACUCGGGUGAAGGAACUAGGCAAAAUGGCACCGUAACUUCGGGAGAAGGUGCGCCGGUGAGGGUGAAGCAUUUACUGCGUAAGCCCAUGCCGGUCGAAGAUACCAGGCCGCUGCGACUGUUUAUUAAAAACACAGCACUCUGCAAACACGAAAGUGGACGUAUAGGGUGUGACGCCUGCCCGGUGCCGGAAGGUUAAUUGAUGGGGUUAGCUAACGCGAAGCUCUUGAUCGAAGCCCCGGUAAACGGCGGCCGUAACAAUAACGGUCCUAAGGUAGCGAAAUUCCUUGUCGGGUAAGUUCCGACCUGCACGAAUGGCGUAACGAUGGCGGCGCUGUCUCCACCCGAGACUCAGUGAAAUUGAAAUCGCUGUGAAGAUGCAGUGUAUCCGCGGCUAGACGGAAAGACCCCGUGAACCUUUACUAUAGCUUUGCACUGGACUUUGAAUUUGCUUGUGUAGGAUAGGUGGGAGGCUUUGAAGCGUGGACGCCAGUUCGCGUGGAGCCAACCUUGAAAUACCACCCUGGCAACUUUGAGGUUCUAACUCAGGUCCGUUAUCCGGAUCGAGGACAGUGUAUGGUGGGUAGUUUGACUGGGGCGGUCUCCUCCUAAAGAGUAACGGAGGAGUACGAAGGUGCGCUCAGACCGGUCGGAAAUCGGUCGUAGAGUAUAAAGGCAAAAGCGCGCUUGACUGCGAGACAGACACGUCGAGCAGGUACGAAAGUAGGUCUUAGUGAUCCGGUGGUUCUGUAUGGAAGGGCCAUCGCUCAACGGAUAAAAGGUACUCCGCGGAUAACAGGCUGAUACCGCCCAAGAGUUCAUAUCGACGGCGGUGUUUGGCACCUCGAUGUCGGCUCAUCACAUCCUGGGGCUGAAGCCGGUCCCAAGGGUAUGGCUGUUCGCCAUUUAAAGUGGUACGCGAGCUGGGUUUAGAACGUCGUGAGACAGUUCGGUCCCUAUCUGCCGUGGACGUUUGAGAUUUGAGAGGGGCUGCUCCUAGUACGAGAGGACCGGAGUGGACGAACCUCUGGUGUUCCGGUUGUCACGCCAGUGGCAUUGCCGGGUAGCUAUGUUCGGAAUAGAUAACCGCUGAAAGCAUCUAAGCGGGAAACUAGCCUCAAGAUGAGAUCUCACUGGGACCUUGAGUCCCCUGAAGGGCCGUCGAAGACUACGACGUUGAUAGGUUGGGUGUGUAAGCGCUGUGAGGCGUUGAGCUAACCAAUACUAAUUGCCCGUGAGGCUUGACU
rnacentral:rRNA from 1 species